UACGGUAGGGGGCAAGCGUUGUCCGGAAUCAUUGGGCGUAAAGAGCGUGUAGGCGGCUCGAUAAGUCUGCUGUGAAAGUCCAGGGCUCAACCCUGGAAGGCCGGUGGAAACUGUCGGGCUAGAGUCCGGAAGAGGCGAGUGGAAUUCCCGGUGUAGCGGUGAAAUGCGCAGAUAUCGGGGAGGAACACCGAUGGCGAAGGCAGGUCUCUGGGCCACUACUGACGCUGAGAAGCGAAAGCAUGGGGAGCGAACAGG
rnacentral:rRNA from 1 species